rnacentral:rRNA from 1 species
UUGGAGGGCAAGUCUGGUGCCAGCAGCCGCGGUAAUUCCAGCUCCAAUAGCGUAUAUUAAAGUUGUUGCAGUUAAAAAGCUCGUAGUUGAAUUUCGGGAUCAAUACGUCGGUCGUGCUUUUUUGGUACGCACUGGCGUCAUUGGUUUCUCCUUUCUGACGAACCAUGAUGUCAUUAAUUUGGUGUUAUGGGGAGUUAGGACUGUUACUUUGAAAAAAUUAGAGUGUUUAAAGCAGGCAUUAGCUUGAAUACAUUAGCAUGGAAUAAUGAAAUAGGACGUUCGAUCCUAUUUUGUUGGUUUCUAGGAUCAACGUAAUGAUUAAUAGGGAUAGUUGGGGGCAUUAGUAUUCAAUUGUCAGAGGUGAAAUUCUUGGAUUUAUUGAAGACUAACUACUGCGAAAGCAUUUGCCAAGGAUGUUUUCAUUAAUCAAGAACGAAAGUUAGGGGAUCGAAGACGAUCAGAUACCGUCAUAGUCUUAACCAUAAACUAUGCCGACUAGGGAUCGGAUGAUGUUAAUUUUUUAAUGACUCAUUCGGCGCCUUACGGGAAAC